rnacentral:rRNA from 1 species
UACGUAGGGUGCAAGCGUUAAUCGGAAUUACUGGGCGUAAAGCGUGCGCAGGCGGUGAUGUAAGACAGGUGUGAAAUCCCCGGGCUUAACCUGGGAACUGCAUUUGUGACUGCAUCGCUGGAGUGCGGCAGAGGGGGAUGGAAUUCCACGUGUAGCGGUGAAAUGCGUAGAGAUGUGGAGGAACACCGAUGGCGAAGGCAGCCUUCUGGGCCAAUACUGACGCUCAUGCACGAAAGCGUGGGGAGCAAACAGG